UUUUUAAAAACAUACUAUGCUUAGAGUACUAUUUGUUUUUCACUUUUAGACAUUGUUUACUUCCUACUAAGGAAGAAAAUAAUUUUGCGAUCUUACCCGCCUCCCCGCUCUAUUCUUAUCCUGCCAAGAGGGAACAUUCAGAGCAUUACCAGCGCUUCCUUUUUAGUCUUCCCAUGUAAGAAAAAUACUGACUCAUUCAUUACCUGAAAAAUCCAUCAAUCAGUAAGGACAGAACCAGCACAUUUCACGAUAAAUUUAUACCUUUGUUAGUAAAAAAGUACCUUCACUGUACAUCUAUCAUGGACAUAUUUGAAGCAGUAAGGAUUUUUACCCCUAAAGUAAAAACUACCAAAUUUUUAAGUUGGCAUAAGAGUAUUCAAGGAAAUCACAAUAUGUCCUACUUGCAAGACAUAACAAAGUUAUUUGCACUGGGAGGUGAAAAUAAUCUUCAUAGGACUAAUGUCUUGGGGAAGAAGCGUUAGCAAGGUCAUGAGCUGAUGAUACUCCGUAUCAUCUCCAGAUAGAAUACCAAGACAGGCCACUCCUAUUCACUGCUGCUAGGAGUGUAAAAGAGCAUGGAAACCAGUGGGCAAUUCCUACCCAGAACCUCCAAAAAGAAGUCAGAUUUUCACCCUCAGAGAAAUCAAUUCUAAGGAAGGAAAUACUCAGAGAUACAAGGAUUUAUGCAUAAGAAUAUUCAUGAUAGUAUUAUUUAUAAUAACGGAAAACAAUCUCACUGCCUCCAAAUAAAAAAACGGUUAAGUGAUACUGUAUCUAUAGAAUGCAAUAAUAGAAAAUCAUUAAAUUCAUGCUUUCAGAGAACACUUAAUGCCGUGGGGAAAUCCUCAUAAUAUGCUAAAUGAGAAAAACAGUUGAGGUCAGCCUACAUGUAAAAAUAUACAGGUGUACAUGUGUAUAAUAUACACACAUACCAACAUAGGUAGAAGCACAUACAAAAUAUCUAAACACACGCAAAACUUUUAAAACGCAUAGAAUAGACAGUUUUUUUCUCCCAAUAUGGUCUGCCACUCAUAUACCUCAGAAUCACCUUGGGGGCUUAUUAAAAAUGCAAAUUCUUGGGUAUUACCCCAGACGUUUGAAAACAGAGCCUAAGUCUUUGAAAACAGAGCCUAAGGAUCGCUGUCUACCUACACACCCUGAGUAAUUCUCACCCACCCCUCAGUUUGGGGACCACUGGAUCAGAAAUAACAGCUCUCUGUGGGUGAAGGAAUUACGAAUAAUUGUCUUCUUUUAUUGCAUCUUAAAAAAAUUCUCUACCAAACAUACGCUGCUUUUAUAAUUCAAAGUUCAUUAAAAGUGCAUUAAUGAGGCAUGAGUAUUAAACAGAGCUGAUUUAGGGUCUAUCUGGGCAAGUGUAAACAACUUUGGAGAAUUAGAACAUGCACUUCUUUUUUCUUGCGACGGAGUCUUGCUCUUUCACCCAGGCAGUGCAGUGGUGUGAUCUCGGCUCACUACAACCUCCGCCUCCUAGGUUCAAGCGAUUCUUCUGCCUCAACCUCCCGAGUAGCUGGGAUUAUAGGUGCCCGCCACCAUGCCCAGCUAAUUUUUGUAGAGAUGGGGUUUCACCACGUUGGCCAGGCUGGUCUCAAACUCCUGACCUCAAGUGAUCCGCCCACCUCGGCCUCCCAAAGUGCUGGGAUUACAGGUGAACCAUGGUGCCUGGCCACAAGUGUGCAUUUUUUAAAAUCUAAAAUACAGAAUGAGACUCUGUCUCAAAUAAUAAUAAUAAUAAUAAUAAAAUAAAAUCUAAAAUAAGUAGGUAUGUAUGGAUUCCUUACAAUUGAGUCAGUUUAGGACAAAGGAAGUAAUACAUUAAGUGUAGACAUGGAAAUCAUGAGCUCAAUAAAUUCUGCAGGUAAAAAACAUAAAUAGAAUAAUUUUGCAACGUAUGGAGAAUGGCAUUUCUAAAGUUCCAAGAUCUUCCUUGGCAAAAAGAGGAUUCAGUAAUCAAAUAAAUUUGGGACACAAUACAUAAUAUGGUCACCCUCCCCACUUAAGAGUCAAAUCCUUGGGUAGAUUACAGGUUCCGAGAAGUCCAAUAUAAACUUCUUUCUUAAUUCUAGCUCCACAAAUUCUUAGAAUGUCUCUAUCACUGAAAACAAAUUCUAGCCCAGAAGAGGGUCUAGAAAAAGUUCUCAUCAUGGACUGAUACUCUACACUUGACCCAACAUAUCGUUUCCACAUUCCCAUGGCCUCUGAGGGCUUAGCCCAUAUGUAUUUAUAGAGCCUGAUUCUAAGGGCAUGGCUCAAGUCAGCUACCAAGUAAUGCUCAGGAACAGCAAAAUUCGAGUGCCCAGGAUACAAGAUUAGAACAUGUGAAGCAACUACAGAUUUACUUUUUAUCUACUGGUCUCUUUCACUAGGCUGUGUGCUUAGGGCUGGAAUUUUGCCAUUUGUCUAUUCAUUUAUGUACUACCAACACAAUAAAGUCUGGCACUUACUUAGUACUCAGUGAAUGGGGCACCACCAAAGAGGUGGUGUAAAUUCUUUCCGGUAAGUUCAGUAAUGAAAUGGGCUAGUUUCAUUACCAUGCACCACCACACCUAGCUAAUCUUUGUAAUUUUAGUAGAGACGGGGGUUUAGCCACGUUGCCCAGGCUGGUCUCGAACUCCUGACCUCAAGCAAUCCAUCCACCUUGGCCUCCCCAAGUGCUGGGAUUACAGGUGUGAGCCACUGCCCCUGGCCAAGAUGGAGUCUUGCUAUGUCUCUAUGGACUUGAACCCCUGGACUCAAGUGAUCCUCUCACCUCAGCCUCCUGAGUAGGUGGCACUACAGGCACACACCACUGCACUCAGCUCUAGGUGGACAUUUCUAAGGAUGUGGCAGUGACUAAGACAUAAUAAUCUCUAUCCUCAGGGGCUUCAUGCAUUAGAGAUACUCAUCUGAGCCAUUCUAGUCCUAGAGUCCUAGCCUCUUGCACAAGUUUAGGUACAUUAGAUGUCUAAUUAAUGCUUAUUUGAAUUGAAUUUAGAAACCAUGGCAUGCUUUAUGCAUGAUCAAAAUUUGGCACUUUUUGCGGGCAGAGUCUAUAGUAAGACAGACCAUUCUAGAGACUGCAUCAGAAUGAUCAUAUCUUAAGUAACCAGACCUAUUUUGAUCAUUGUUUUUUGCUUUUUUUUUUUUUUUUUUUUUUGAGAGAGGGUCUUGCUCUGUUGCUCAGGCUGGAGUGCAAUAGCAUGAUCAUGGCUUACUGCAGCCUCAACCGCCCCAGGCUCCCACCUUGGCCUCCUGAGUAGCUGGACCACAGGCACACCACCAUGCCUGGCUAAGUUUUGUAUUUUUUGUAAUGAUGGGGUUUCACCAUGUUGUGCAGGCUGGUCUGGAACUCCUGGGCUCAAGCAAUCCGCCUGCCUUGGCCUCCAAAUGCUGGGAUUACAGGCAUGAGCCACUGCCCCCAGCCAAUCAUCACUACUUUGGAGUCUCCACAACUAGCCAGGAGUCAAAAAAUUUGGCCAGAGAAGCCCCAGAACCCAGAGGAAAUUGAACAUUCUUCUGCAGGACAUUGAUCUGCUGUAGGAACCAGUUCAUGAACCACAUAAUGGAAGACCAGCUCCG
rnacentral:lncRNA from 1 species